rnacentral:tRNA from 4 species
GGCGGCAUAGCCAAGUGGUAAGGCAGAGGUCUGCAAAACCUCCACUCUCCGGUUCAAAUCCGGAUGCCGCCUCCA